AGCGAACGCUGGCGGCAGGCCUAACGCAUGCAAGUCGAACGGACCCCUCGGGGUUAGUGGCGGACGGGUGAGUAACACGUGGGAACGUGCCUUUAGGUUCGGAAUAGCUCCUGGAAACGGGUGGUAAUGCCGAAUGUGCCCUUCGGGGGAAAGAUUUAUCGCCUUUAGAGCGGCCCGCGUCUGAUUAGCUAGUUGGUGAGGUAAUGGCUCACCAAGGCGACGAUCAGUAGCUGGUCUGAGAGGAUGACCAGCCACAUUGGGACUGAGACACGGCCCAAACUCCUACGGGAGGCAGCAGUGGGGAAUCUUGCGCAAUGGGCGAAAGCCUGACGCAGCCAUGCCGCGUGGAUGAUGAAGGUCUUAGGAUUGUAAAAUCCUUUCACCGGUGAAGAUAAUGACUGUAGCCGGAGAAGAAGCCCCGGCUAACUUCGUGCCAGCAGCCGCUGUAACAC
rnacentral:rRNA from 1 species